UGCCAGCAGCCGCGGUAAUACUGAAGGUGCAAGCGUUAAUCGGAAUCACUGGGCGUAAAGCGCUCGUAGGUGGCUUUGUAAGUCAGAUGUGAAAGCCAAUAGCUCAACUAUUGAACUGCAUUUGAAACUGUAAACCUAGAAUAUGGGAGAGGUAGAUGGAAUUUCUGGUGUAGGAGUGAAAUCCGUAGAGAUCAGAAGGAACACCGGUGGCGAAGGCGACUUCCUGGACUAUUACUGACACUGAGGAGCGAAAGCGUGGGGAGCAAACAGGAUUAGAUA
rnacentral:rRNA from 1 species